rnacentral:rRNA from 1 species
CAGUAGCCGCGGGAAUACGUAGGUGGCAAGCGUUGUCCGGAAUUAUUGGGCGUAAAGGGCUCGCAGGCGGUUUCUUAAGCCUGAUGUGAAAGCCCCCGGCUCAACCGGGGAGGGUCAUUGGAAACUGGGAAACUUGAGUGCAGAAGGGGAGAGUGGAAUUCCACGUGUAGCGGUGAAAUGCGUAGAGAUGUGGAGGAACACCAGUGGCGAAGGCGACUCUCUGGUCUGUAACUGACGCUGAGGAGCGAAAGCGUGGGGAGCGAACAGGAUUAGAUACCCGCGUAGUCCCUGUCUCUUAUAA